CCCCCCCCAUUUUUACCCAGGCGUUAUAGUGUUAAUUAUUAAAUAAGAAUAUGGAACUGGCAAGAUAUUAACGUCGAACAAAAAUAUAUAUUAUAAUAUUAGCAGAAAAUUAUAAUUAAAAGAGGAGUAAUUUUAUAUAGAACACUAAAAUCGGGUUUCCAUUUGGUCUGGGCGAUUGUAACCAUGGUUAAGGCUGCAACUAGACUUGAUGGUAUGAAGUAUUGCCAUAGCAGCUGCGCGGCAACAAUGAGAGCAACAAUCAGUAAUAUUAGCAGCAAAAGGAGAUAGCAAUGACAAUUCUGCCAAGGCAUACCUACGAAAUACAAUGUAUAGUGGUCUAUACAUCCUACUUUAUAUGAGAUUAAAAAUUAUAUAAAAUAAAAUGAUAUAUACUACUAGAAUGAACAUGGGUGGGUGGGUGGGGAAAAGGUAUCGAAGCGCUAAACUUGCUGCAGCUAGGCAAAGCAUACAAUGGCAGAAUGAAUACCCAGACCGAAGCGCUGAUCACAAGGCAUCAAACAACCCCCUUUGAU